rnacentral:lncRNA from 1 species
AACCGAUGAGACUGCACCUCCUGAAAAAGACAGACAGCCCAUCGCGUGAGCUUUAGAGUCUGUGGACGCAUUUAUACUGGUAUCCGCCCCCAGAUCAUGAACGGCCCCCUGCACCCCCGCCCCCUAGUGGCACUGCUGGAUGGCAGAGACUGCACUGUGGAAAUGCCCAUCCUGAAGGACCUGGCCACUGUGGCCUUCUGUGAUGCACAGUCCACUCAGGAAAUCCAUGAGAAGGUAUUGAAUGAGGCUGUGGGCGCCAUGAUGUACCACACCAUCACUCUCACCCGGGAAGACCUGGAGAAGUUCAAGGCCCUGAGAGUGAUUGUUCGAAUCGGUAGUGGCUACGACAAUGUGGACAUCAAGGCUGCUGGCG